GCCAUGUUAGUACAGUGGUGAGUAUCGGGCACGUCGAAAUAAUCGGAAACGACUACUAGACUCCUUCUGGAGUGCGCGGGGCCUGGGUUCGAUUCCCAGACAUGGUC